CGCACGGGUGAGUAACACGUGGGUGAUCUGCCCUGCACUUUGGGAUAAGCCUGGGAAACUGGGUCUAAUACCGAAUAUGACCACGCUCUUCAUGGGGUGUGGUGGAAAGCUUUUGCGGUGUGGGAUGGGCCCGCGGCCUAUCAGCUUGUUGGUGGGGUAAUGGCCUACCAAGGCGACGACGGGUAGCCGGCCUGAGAGGGUGACCGGCCACACUGGGACUGAGAUACGGCCCAGACUCCUACGGGAGGCAGCAGUGGGGAAUAUUGCACAAUGGGCGCAAGCCUGAUGCAGCGACGCCGCGUGAGGGAUGACGGCCUUCGGGUUGUAAACCUCUUUCACCAGGGACGAAGCGCAAGUGACGGUACCUGGAGAAGAAGCACCGGCCAACUACGUGCCAGCAGCCGCGGUAAUACGUAGGGUGCGAGCGUUGUCCGGAAUUACUGGGCGUAAAGAGCUCGUAGGUGGUUUGUCGCGUUGUUCGUGAAAACUCACAGCUUAACUGUGGGCGUGCGGGCGAUACGGGCAGACUAGAGUACUGCAGGGGAGACUGGAAUUCCUGGUGUAGCGGUGGAAUGCGCAGAUAUCAGGAGGAACACCGGUGGCGAAGGCGGGUCUCUGGGCAGUAACUGACGCUGAGGAGCGAAAGCGUGGGGAGCGAACAGGAUUAGAUACCCUGGUAGUCCACGCCGUAAACGGUGGGUACUAGGUGUGGGUUCCUUCCUUGGGAUCCGUGCCGUAGCUAACGCAUUAAGUACCCCGCCUGGGGAGUACGGCCGCAAGGCUAAAACUCAAAGGAAUUGACGGGGGCCCGCACAAGCGGCGGAGCAUGUGGAUUAAUUCGAUGCAACGCGAAGAACCUUACCUGGGUUUGACAUGCACAGGACGCUGGUAGAGAUAUCAGUUCCCUUGUGGCCUGUGUGCAGGUGGU
rnacentral:rRNA from 1 species